GACCCGUCUUGAAACACGGACCAAGGAGUGUAACACAUAUGCGAGUUUGCGGGUGGAAAAACCCAUAAGCGCAACGAAAGUGAGUAUAAGGUGUGAUACCUUCUAAAUGGGGGUUGCAACAUCGACCGACCUUGAUCUUUUGUGAAGGGUUUGAGUAAGAGCAUAUUUGUUACGACCCGAAAGAUGGUGAACUAUACUUGAGCAGCCUGAAGCCUGAGGAAACUCAGGUGGAAGGGCGCAGCGGUACUGACGUGCAAAUCGUUCGUCAGACUUGAGUAUAGGGGCGAAAGACUAAUCGAACCAUCUAGUAGCUGGUUCCCUCUGAAAUUUCUCUCAGGAUAGCUGGAACAAUUUCAAGCAGUUUUAUCAGGUAAAGCGAAUGAUUAGAGGACUCGGAUCUCAAAGAGAUUUGACCUAUUCUCAAACUUUAAAUUGGUAAGAUCUAUUAGUUCUCUUAACUGAACUGGUAGGCAGAAUGCAUUGUUCCAAGUGGGCUUAUCGUGGUAAGCAUGUUAAGCAAUGAGGGAUGAACCUAACGCUGAGAUAAGGCGCCAAAAUUCCCGCUCAUCAGAUACCAUAAAAGGUGUUGAUUCAUAUAGACAGCAGGACGGUGGCCAUGGAAGUCGGAAUCCGCUAAGGAGUGUGU
rnacentral:rRNA from 1 species